rnacentral:misc_RNA from 1 species
GAUGAAGAACGUAGCGAAAUGCGAUAAGUAAUGUGAAUUGCAGAAUUCAGUGAAUCAUCGAAUCUUUGAACGCACAUUGCGCCCGCCAGUAUUCUGGCGGGCAUGCCUGUUCGAGCGUCAUUUCAACCAUCAAGCCCCCGGGCUUGCGUUGGGGCCCUGCGGCUGCCGCAGACCCCUAAAACCAGUGGCGGGCUCGCUGUCACACCGAGCGCAGUAGCAAUAUCUCGCUCUGGGCGUGGCGCGGGUGCUUGCCGUAAAACACACCACUUAACAAGGUUGACCUCGGAUCAGGUAGGAAUACCCGCUGAACUUAAGCAUAUCAAUAAGCGGAGGA